rnacentral:rRNA from 1 species
AACGAACGCUGGCGGCAUGCUUAACACAUGCAAGUCGAACGAUCUCUUCGGAGAUAGUGGCGGACGGGUGAGUAACGCGUGGGAACCUGCCCCGAGGUACGGAAUAACUCAUGGAAAUGUGAGCUAAUACCGUAUGUGACCUGAGGGUGAAAGAUUUAUCGCCUUGGGAGGGGCCCGCGUCGGAUUAGGUAGUUGGUGGGGUAAUGGCCUACCAAGCCUGCGAUCCGUAGCUGGUCUGAGAGGAUGAUCAGCCACACUGGAACUUAGACACGGUCCAGACUCCUACGGGAGGCAGCAGUGGGGAAUAUUGGACAAUGGGGGCAACCCUGAUCCAGCAAUGCCGCGUGCGUGAUGAAGGCCUUAGGGUUGUAAAGCGCUUUCGGCGGGGAAGAUGAUGACGGUACCCGCAGAAGAAGCCCCGGCUAACUCCGUG